UUAGACACAUUGGCAGACAAAUGCGAUAGAUUUAGAAUCUACUUACACUUA
rnacentral:tRNA from 1 species